rnacentral:lncRNA from 1 species
AUUACAGAUUCCACAUUGCAGCUAAUCUUCAUUAAACUACCACGUGGUGAAUUUUAAUGUAGUAUCCAAGAAGCAUACUGACACCUUCUCCAUUGUCCUGCUAUGUAUCUGUGUAAGGCCAGAUUUUCUUCGUAUACAUUAACCAAAGCAACAUAUAGCAACAGACUGAAGAGGCAGGUCUCCUGGGACUCUGUUGCAUCAAAUUCUACUCCUAGGCAUCAAUUUUAAAGUAUUUCAUCAGUUGGACCUACCAAAUCUCAAGUCAGGAUUUGGCCAUCUCUGCUCUUGCCAUUCCAUCUCUCACGACUCUAUCCUCAAAGAAAAGAAAACAGUCUUUCAUCAAUUAUGGUUAAAGAUCCCCAAACUGAAACACAUGUGGCUAAACGCCAUUCAUAUCACCAGCCCACACCAGUCUGGUGGUGGGGGAGGGAAGGAAAAAGAGGAGAUAAAUGGCCUACAUGAUUGAUUUCAACUAAGACCCAAAUCUUGGAGAACAAUUAUUGGAUUUACCACUGUUUGUUUUUGCAACAUUUCGGAAAUUGGC